rnacentral:lncRNA from 1 species
GAAAUCCUCCCAGAAAUGCAAUCAGCAAGAACUAAAUGGUCAGUGAGAAAAAGCCAGCACAGAAGUGACAUCAUUUUGUUCCCAGAGGUUUGAUUCUCUCCAACUUGUUUUUCCUGUUGAAAUGAGACCCAGCUAAUAAAGUUCUAUAUAAUGUAUUCAGAUUCCUGUGGUAACAGCGGAUGCUGCUUUUUUUUCUUUUUUUUUUUUUUUUUUUUGCAUGACAUUUUUUCAAGGUCAGCUUUAUAUGUAUGAUUCCUGCUUGCCAAAUAUCUGCCCCAUUUUAAAUCUAUAUCUAGCCUGAAACAUUUUGUUUUGUCCUUCGGUUGACCGUCUGCGCCAGUGAAAGGCAUCCUUGUGAAGAAGUGCCCCUUUGCUCCUGUGGUUACCAGUACUGUUCCACAGUUACCAAGGGUGAUGCUAUUAUAUUGCUCCAGCCACUCUGUGCACCCUGUUGAGUAAUUUAUUGGCCAAGAUCCUAACAGUGAAAAGGCCUGUCUAGAAUCCUGCUGAAUUUUAAAAGGUAGGAAUAUUGCACUUCAUAACAAGCAGCCAUUAAUGAUAACCAACAAUAUAAUUCUUAUGGAAUUAUGCCUUGCAUAUGCAUGAAAUUCCCAAGCAUAAUAAAAAGCAAACGAAGGAAGUUAACCUCUUGUGUGCUGUGCUUCCUGGUACAUAAUUACAGUGUAGUGGAAAGAGCAUGACCCUGUAUCUGUCCAACAUUAUAAUUAGCAUUCCCCAUACUGAAGGCUAUUGUCUGGAGGACAGUUUUGUCUCUCCUCUGUUCUGACUUGUGCAAAAUUAUACCCUUAAAUGUGAGUUCAUGGCCCUUUCUCAAAGCCAGUCUUUUGUUUUCAGUGUAGCCCCAAAAUCAAUGGACUGGCAGGAUGUGCAGCAUACACCCACAGGGACCCCAAAUGGAUUCAGUCUGACACUGCUCUUCAUUACACAAUGGCACUGCCUGAACUCUGGAUGGAAAGGUUGCUGUCUUGCCUUUGGCCAGCAUUUUGCAGUCACUCCUAUACAAGGGCUACUGCAUACUCUCUUCUGGGUGUGAAGGCCUUUACUCUUCUCUACAUGCAGAAAAGAACAGAAUCCAUCUACAAUGACAUAUCAUUUGUAUGAGUCUCAGACUGACUUAUUGAAAUAAAUUAUACUUGGUAUGAUUCA